AUACGUAGGGGGCGAGCGUUGUCCGGAAUGAUUGGGCGUAAAGGGCGCGUAGGCGGCCCGGUAAGUCUGGAGUGAAAGUCCUGUUUUUAAGAUGGGAAUUGCUUUGGAUACUGUCGGGCUUGAGUGCAGGAGAGGUAAGUGGAAUUCCCAGUGUAGCGGUGAAAUGCGUAGAGAGUGGGAGGAACACCAGUGGCGAAGGCGACUAAAUGGACUGUAACUGACGCUGAGGCGCGAAAGUGUGGGGAGCAAACAGGAUGAGAUACCCUGGUAGUCCACACUGUAAACGAUGAAUGCUAGGUGUAGGGGUUAUCGACCCCUUCUGUGCCGCAGUCAACACAAUAAGCAUUCCGCCUGGGGAGUACGGCCGCAAGGUUGAAACUCAAAUGAAUUGACGGGG
rnacentral:rRNA from 1 species